GAAGAAGAACUAGAGAAGUAUUUAGAUAACUCUUUUUUAUGAUGAAAAAUGAUAACAUACGAGGAAAGGGAUAAUAAGAUCAGGCUGAGGUGUGAUGAGGAAAGAGAACUAAAGCCUUUUCUGGAAGUGAUGUCAGAAAAGCAAGUGAAAAAGGAAAACAGAUUUGAACUAUACUGGUAUAAAGCUAACAUAAAACAGACAUAAGUCAGAAGAGCAGAGUUGCAUCCAUGUGCACUGGCAGAGCCAGGCCAUACCUCCAAGUGGGAGGAGAUCUGCAGGAGUUUAUAAAGGCUGUUCAACGCUGCUUUUUCUCCCCUUUCCCAUCUAGGCCUCUCCUGCCAUUGACUGUGAAUUCAGAGGUUUAUGGGACAACUAGCACACUGUGGAGGAAACCAUGCAUACUCCCCAGUAUGGAGAUGGGACUCAGACACGGAAUCUCUGGAGCCAGCCAGCUCCUCCCCUGGCAUGUGCAAAGGACAGAUGGAUCCUGCUCGGUUUGGACUCCAGUUGUCACCCAGCAGCUGACUUGGAUGUGAUUUUCCCCUUAAACUCCUCCUGGACAAAAGGAUUAUUACUGAAGAUGUCAGCAGAGACACAGCAAGAUAAGGAAAAAGCCCAACAGAGUAGAACAUCCCCAAAUGGGAGAACAGCAAAAAACAGGAAGCUGUUCUCAGAAAAAUGCUUUGCUCAUUCAGAGAAUUCUGUUGCAUUAUUGGUUUUGUCAUAGACUUUGUUGGCUUUUGAUCAUUUAAUCAUUUGGUGCCUCUACUUCCUCCUUAAACUAGGAUUAUUCUUAGUAAUGGUGGUUAUUUAUAGCAGUGUUGGAGUCUGAAAAAAGUAAUGUUUUUCUGCUACUGCAACUGAAGAUUCUACACAGAGGGCUAACACCUUCCUUUCUGGUUUUCAACUGGCGCUCCAGUCUCCUUCACAAAAGAAGGAUGUGAACAGAAGAGACUAGAGAUAUUUGAAUGGCACCAAGAGCAACUUUCUGUGGAUUUUUUGAGUUCCUAAAUGAAUUGAUACAGGCUGCAAACACAGGCCUUUCAGGAUCGUUGUCAGCAAACACCAACAAGACAGAAACAUAAUUGUAUAUUCACCCACAAAAAAUUAGUUUGAAGAUUCUGUGUCCUUUCAUCUGGGGAACGUGAAUUUUAAAUUCACUUUUGGAAGUAUUUGUACUGGGUGAUUAAGGCUUACACUCCUUCAAAUAUGGAAUAGAAACACUACCUCUAAUUGUGUUAUAACUUCAUGGGUCUCUUGUGAAUAGCAAACUGCUGAUAAAAGCAGUCUUGUAAAAAUAUCAUCAAAUAAUUUUGGAUACCAAAGUGAUCUGUAGCAAUCAGAAUCUGCUAGUGGCUGUGUCUACAAAGAAUAAAGAGAAGACCAUCAGACA
rnacentral:lncRNA from 1 species